rnacentral:rRNA from 1 species
AUUCCUACGGGAGGCAGCAGUAGGGAAUCUUGGACAAUGGGCGCAAGCCUGAUCCAGCCAUGCCGCGUGAGUGAAGAAGGCCUUAGGGUCGUAAAGCUCUUUCGCCUGUGAUGAUAAUGACAGUAGCAGGUAAAGAAACCCCGGCUAACUCCGUGCCAGCAGCCGCGGUAAUACGGAGGGGGUUAGCGUUGUUCGGAAUUACUGGGCGUAAAGCGCGCGUAGGCGGAUUGGAAAGUUAGAGGUGAAAUCCCGGGGCUCAACCCCGGAACGGCCUUUAAAACUCCCAGUCUAGAGUUCGAGAGAGGUGAGUGGAAUUCCAAGUGUAGAGGUGAAAUUCGUAGAUAUUUGGAGGAACACCAGUGGCGAAGGCGGCUCACUGGCUCGAUACUGACGCUGAGGUGCGAAAGUGUGGGGAGCAAACAGGAUUAGAUACCCUGGUAGUCCACACCGUAGACGAUGAAUGCCAGUCGUCGGAUAGUAUACUAUUCGGUGACACACCUAACGGAUUAAGCAUUCCGCCUGGGGAGUACGGUCGCAAGAUUAAAACUCAAAGGAAU